AAGAGUCUCCGUUAGAGUUGGUCAUCACGAGACUUCUUGACUCAUCUCCUCCUGUGUUUUUAGAUUUUUCUUUUUGUAUUGUAAAGGACGUAAUUGACUUUCUUCGACUAAACAUACAUCCACAAGUUCCAUACUGAUUGAGUACCAUAGUUGAUAUUGUGAAUCUUUUCUUUUUCUUUUGCUUUGCGAAUUGGCUUUGUUUGUUCAUCAUCUUUUCGUAAUUGGGUAUACGAUGUGUUCUCGAGCUUCAGCAUGAAAGUUUCCUCAGCCAUUUUCUCAAGGAGCUAAAUCGGAAAUUGAACAAGGCUUUCAAAAACAAUAUGAGAAAGAGAGAGAAGUCACUCAGAUUGUCCCAAAGAUUGAAUACAAUGACGAGUGUGGAGAGUCUGGAGAUACCAAUGUAGAGACAGAGAGAAUAAGAGAAGCAAGAAACGAAAUCAGGGUAAGCAUGAUGAGGCUCUGAUUGGUAACACCGCAUAAUUUUUUGCGUUAUUCCACUGUUAUACGUUUUACAAAUCGGAGCCUUAAGUUGAAUAAAAUAAUUUACAUAUCACAUCAUUCUCUUCUUCUUUUUUAAAUCAAUUAAAAAAUUAUUAUUAUAUCUGAUGAUAUAUAUAUAGAUCACUUGAAUGUUUAUG
rnacentral:lncRNA from 1 species